UACGGGGGGGGUAAGCGUUGUUCGGAAUUACUGGGCGUAAAGGGCUCGUAGGCGGCCAACUAAGUCAUACGUGAAAAUCCCUCAGCUUAACUGGGGAACUGCGUGUGAUACUGGAUGGCUUGGAUUUGGGAGAGGGAUGCGGAAUUCCAGGUGUAGCGGUGAAAUGCGUAGAUAUCUGGAGGAACACCGGUGGCGAAGGCGGCAUCCUGGACCAAUAUUGACGCUGAGGAGCGAAAGCCAGGGGAGCAAACGGG
rnacentral:rRNA from 1 species